GUCGCUCAAGGCGGCGCUGGCCGCGUGGGUGGCCUGGGCGGUCGCGGGCUGGUGGCUGCAGGCGCCGGUGGCGUUCGUGGCGCCGUGGGUGGCG
rnacentral:tRNA from 1 species